rnacentral:rRNA from 1 species
CUGUAAAGGAAUUGACGGAAGGGCACCACCAGGAGUGGAUUGACGCUCCUAAGAGCCACGAUGAUGGCUAAUCUGUGCUGCGCAGCAGCAGCAGCAGGUUACACUGCCAAAUUGCGGGGACCUCCUUAGAGCUGAAGCUACUGACGCUGC